rnacentral:rRNA from 1 species
GGCUCAGGAUGAACGCUGGCGGCGUGCUUAACACAUGCAAGUCGAACGAAGCACUCUAUUUGAUUUUCUUCGGAAAUGAAGAUUUUGUGACUGAGUGGCGGACGGGUGAGUAACGCGUGGGUAACCUGCCUCAUACAGGGGGAUAACAGUUGGAAACGACUGCUAAUACCGCAUAAGCGCACAGGAUCGCAUGAUCCGGUGUGAAAAACUCCGGUGGUAUGAGAUGGACCCGCGUCUGAUUAGCCAGUUGGCAGGGUAACGGCCUACCAAAGCGACGAUCAGUAGCCGACCUGAGAGGGUGACCGGCCACAUUGGGACUGAGACACGGCCCAAACUCCUACGGGAGGCAGCAGUGGGGAAUAUUGCACAAUGGGGGAAACCCUGAUGCAGCGACGCCGCGUGAGCGAAGAAGUAUUUCGGUAUGUAAAGCUCUAUCAGCAGGGAAGAAGAAUGACGGUACCUGACUAAGAAGCACCGGCUAAAUACGUGCCAGCAGCCGCGGUAAUACGUAUGGUGCAAGCGUUAUCCGGAUUUACUGGGUGUAAAGGGAGCGCAGGCGGUGCGGCAAGUCUGAUGUGAAAGCCCGGGGCUCAACCCCGGUACUGCAUUGGAAACUGUCGUACUAGAGUGUCGGAGGGGUAAGUGGAAUUCCUAGUGUAGCGGUGAAAUGCGUAGAUAUUAGGAGGAACACCAGUGGCGAAGGCGGCUUACUGGACGGUAACUGACGCUGAGGCUCGAAAGCGUGGGGAGCAAACAGGAUUAGAUACCCUGGUAGUCCACGCCGUAAACGAUCAAUAAAAGGUGUCGGGGGAGCAUUGCUCUUCGGUGCCGCCAGCAAACGCAAUAAGUAUUCCACCUGGGGAGUACGUUCGCAGAAAUGAAACUCAAAGGAAAUUGACGGGGACCCGCACACGCGGGGGAGCAUGUGGUUUAAUUCGAAGCAACGCGAAGAACCUUACCAAGUCUUGACAUCCCGAUGACAAGCUAUGUAAUGUAGCCUCUCUUCGGAGCAUCGGUGACAGGUGGUGCAUGGUUGUCGUCAGCUCGUGUCGUGAGAUGUUGGGUUAAGUCCCGCAACGAGCGCAACCCCCCUUCUUAGUAGCCAGCGGUCCGGCCGGGCACUCUAGGGAGACUGCCAGGGAUAACCUGGAGGAAGGCGGGGAGGACGUCAAAUCAUCAUGCCCCCUAUGACUUGGGCUACACACGUGCUACAAUGGCGUAAACAAAGGGAAGCGGAGCCGUGAGGCCGAGCAAAUCUCAAAAAUAACGUCUCAGUUCGGACUGUAGUCUGCAACCCGACUACACGAAGCUGGAAUCGCUAGUAAUCGCAGAUCAGAAUGCUGCGG